GGAGAGGUGUCUGAGUGGUUUAAGGUGCUUCCUUGGAAAGGAAGUGUAGGGCAACCUACCGUAGGUUCGAAUCCUAUCCUCUCCGCCA
rnacentral:tRNA from 2 species